GAUGAACGCUGGCGGCGUGCCUAAUACAUGCAAGUCGAGCGAACAGACGAGGAGCUUGCUCCUCUGACGUUAGCGGCGGACGGGUGAGUAACACGUGGAUAACCUACCUAUAAGACUGGGAUAACUUCGGGAAACCGGAGCUAAUACCGGAUAAUAUAUUGAACCGCAUGGUUCAAUAGUGAAAGACGGUUUUGCUUUCACUUAUAGAUGGAUCCGCGCCGCAUUAGCUAGUUGGUAAGGUAACGGCUUACCAAGGCGACGAUGCGUAGCCGACCUGAGAGGGUGAUCGGCCACACUGGAACUGAGACACGGUACAGACUCCUACGGGAGGCAGCAGUAGGGAAUCUUCCGCAAUGGGCGAAAGCCUGACGGAGCAACGCCGCGUGAGUGAUGAAGGUCUUCGGAUCGUAAAACUCUGUUAUUAGGGAAGAACAAAUGUGUAAGUAACUAUGCACGUCUUGACGGUACCUAAUCAGAAAGCCACGGCUAACUACGUG
rnacentral:rRNA from 1 species